rnacentral:rRNA from 1 species
AUGAACGCUGGCGGCGUGCCUAAUACAUGCAAGUCGAGCGAACAGAUGAGGAGCUUGCUCCUCUGACGUUAGCGGCGGACGGGUGAGUAACACGUGGAUAACCUACCUAUAAGACUGGGAUAACUUCGGGAAACCGGAGCUAAUACCGGAUAAUAUAUUGAACCGCAUGGUUCAAUAGUGAAAGACGGUUUUGCUGUCACUUAUAGAUGGAUCCGCGCCGCAUUAGCUAGUUGGUAAGGUAACGGCUUACCAAGGCAACAAUGCGUAGCCGACCUGAGAGGGUGAUCGGCCACACUGGAACUGAGGCACGGUCCAGACUCCUACGGGAGGCAGCAGUAGGGAAUCUUCCGCAAUGGGCGAAAGCCUGACGGAGCAACGCCGCGUGAGUGAUGAAGGUCUUCGGAUCGUAAAACUCUGUUAUUAGGGAAGAACAAAUGUGUAAGUAACUAUGCACGUCUUGACGGUACCUAAUCAGAAAGCCACGGCUAACUACGUG